GACGAACGCUGGCGGCGUGCCUAAUACAUGCAAGUAGAACGCUGAAGGAGGAGCUUGCUCUUCUGGAUGAGUUGCGAACGGGUGAGUAACGCGUAGGUAACCUGCCUGGUAGCGGGGGAUAACUAUUGGAAACGAUAGCUAAUACCGCAUAACAGUAGAUGUUGCAUGACAUUUGCUUAAAAGGUGCAAUUGCACCACUACCAGAUGGACCUGCGUUGUAUUAGCUAGUUGGUGGGGUAACGGCUCACCAAGGCGACGAUACAUAGCCGACCUGAGAGGGUGAUCGGCCACACUGGGACUGAGACACGGCCCAGACUCCUACGGGAGGCAGCAGUAGGGAAUCUUCGGCAAUGGACGGAAGUCUGACCGAGCAACGCCGCGUGAGUGAAGAAGGUUUUCGGAUCGUAAAGCUCUGUUGUAAGAGAAGAACGAGUGUGAGAGUGGAAAGUUCAC
rnacentral:rRNA from 1 species